CUCAAAAGGAAGAACUGCCAGUGAUAAACUGGAGGAAGUGGGGAAUGAACGUCAAGUCAUCAUGGCCCUUACGAGUAGGGCUACACACGUGCUACAAUGGCGCAUACAAAGAGAAGCGACCUCGCGAGAGCAAGCGGACCUCAUAAAGUGCGUCGUAGUCCGGAUUGGAGUCUGCAACUCGACUCCAUGAAGUCGGAAUCGCUAGUAACG
rnacentral:rRNA from 1 species